GGAAGUGAUAGCAGCAAUAUCAACUGCAUCAUUAGUAUUGAAAAAAGAUAAGGACAUUUCAGAGGAAUUGGUGAAAACAGCAGAGAAAUUGUUAAUUCUAGCAAAUAGAACAGCGAAGAAAGGGAAGUACACGACGAAUGAUGAGUGUGGAGGACAAGCUAGACAAUUUUAUAACUCAACUAGUUACAAAGAUGAAUUGGUUUGGGGUGGACUUUGGUUAUUUUUGCAACAGGAAACAAAACUUACCUUAAGUAUGCAACAGAAAACUUUGCCUCAGCUGUAAAGGAAGAGGUAGCUUCUGAAGAAGGCGUCUUCGAUUGGAACAACAAAACUACUGCUA
rnacentral:misc_RNA from 1 species